AGCCCCACCCACCCUUAUCCUCUCUCUCCCCCACGAUUUCUCCCUCCCAGCCAGGACCUCCCCGUGCCGCCGCACCAAGUCUCCCUCCCCACACGCUGCCACACCACCUCCUCCCACCCACCACGCCGCCGGACCACCUCCUCCCUCCCACACCGCUACACCACCUCCUCUGCCUCGCGCCGCCGCACAACCUCCUCCCCCGCGCCGCCGGACCACCUUCCUCUCGCGUGCGUCGCAUCACAUCCUUCCCCGCAGUCAGCCACACCGGCCACCUUCCUAUGGCAUCCUCGGACAGGCACCACCAUCCCGAGCCUGUAUUUGUGCAGUGGUGCCCCUUCCUUGCCGAUGGAUUCAGACCAACCUCGAUCGGUGUCAUGCUAGCUCCCUCCCCAAGCCCAUCGCGCUGCCCGGGCCUAGCUCCUUGCGAUGCCCCUCUUGAACACCGGUCGGCAGGAUCCCUGGCUCCAUCGGACACUGCAACCUCCUCAGCGCCGCCCGACACCUCCGACAGAGCCCCCACCCCGACCCAUGCUGCUAGCUCACUAAGAUCCGUUGUGGUUCUCUUCUUCCCUACAACAGAAGAUGCGGUGUGGCUACGACACGGUUGAAGUUCAUGACAUUUUUUGUUGCUUUUUUCAUAUUUUGCGGGGCGUCCGUCGGCGAGCUCUCCCCCGACGUGUCGUGCAGCUCGCCGGUCCACAUCGUGUGGUUCACCGGCCAUGUGAUUGUAGUGCAGUCGAACCCCCCCCCCCCCCCCCCCCCCCCCCCCCGCGUAUGUGGCGUGCAGUUCGGAGCAAACGAGCAUGCAGUUUAGUCCCCUAUUUGUGGUUUUUUGGCGUGUCUAUCGAAUGUAUCUAUGAUGUAUUGUGUGUAAAAAAUUGUUGAGAAGUUCAUUUCAACAAGCAUUAAUGGUUCAUUUUCAAGAGAAAAA